ACUAAUAUAUGAGAUAGACUCAUGACAUGCAAAGCAAUGUACGCUGUACGCCAUAAUCAUCACAAUUAUAACAAAUAAAUGCUUGACAUAUCUUGCUUUGCAUGUCAUGAGUCUAUCUCAUAUAUUAGU